rnacentral:rRNA from 1 species
UACGUAGGUGACCAGCGUUGUCCGGAUUUACUGGGCGUAAAGAGCGCGCAGGCGGUCGUUCAAGUCGAGUGUGAAAGCUCCCGGCUCAACUGGGAGAGCGCGUGGGAGACUGUUGGGCUAGAGACUCGGAGAGGGGUGUGGAAUUCCCGGUGGAGUGGUGAAAUGCGUUGAGAUCGGGAGGAACACCAGUGGCGAAGGCGGCACCCUGGCCGAGUUCUGACGCUGAAGCGCGACAGCGUGGGGAGCAAACGGG